rnacentral:rRNA from 1 species
AACGAACGCUAGCGGCAUGCCUUACACAUGCAAGUCGAACGGCAGCGGACCUUCGGGUGCCGGCGAGUGGCGAACGGGUGAGUAAUAUAUCGGAACGUACCUUUCAGUGGGGGAUAACGUAGCGAAAGUUACGCUAAUACCGCAUAUUCUGUGAGCAGGAAAGCAGGGGAUCGCAAGACCUUGCGCUGAUUGAGCGGCCGAUAUCAGAUUAGCUAGUUGGUGAGGUAAAGGCUCACCAAGGCGACGAUCUGUAGCGGGUCUGAGAGGAUGAUCCGCCACACUGGAACUGAGACACGGCCCAGACUCCUACGGGAGGCAGCAGUGGGGAAUUUUGGACAAUGGGCGCAAGCCUGAUCCAGCCAUGCCGCGUGAGUGAAGAAGGCC